GCCAUGAUGCUGGACGUCAGGCUGUGCUGCGGACAGCCUAUGAAAAAGCCUUGAAGAUGGCGGCCUCCUGGAAGCUAGGCUGUGACUUGCGGCUGUUGCGUUACCUCGUGGGCUUCCCUGGCCGCCGAAGCGUACCAGGGCUGAUGAAGGGGGCUGAUGGAUGGUCUGUAAACCGCGGAUCCAUUUGGAGAUGGUUUCACAGCACGCAGUGUCUUCGGGGUGAUCCCAUUAAGAUACUAAUGCUGUCACUGUCUCCCACAGUGGAAGAAGGAAACAUUGUGAAAUGGCUGAAAAAGGAAGGUGAAGCGGUGAGUCCUUGUGAAAUUGAGACUGACAAAGCUGUGUUUACCUUAGAUGCAAGUGGUGAUGGAAUCUUGGCCAAAAUUGUGAUUGAAGAAGGAGCUAAAAAUAUACGGCUAGGUUCACUAAUUGGUUUGAUAGCAGAAGAAGGAGAAGAUUGGAAACACGUUGAAAUUCCCAAAGAUGUAGCUCCUCCACCACCAGCUUCAAAACCUUCAGAGCCUCAUCCCUCACCAGAACCACAGAUUGCCGUGCCUGUCAAGAAGGAACACACACCCAGGACACUACAGUUCCGUUUAAGUCCAGCUGCCUGCAAUAAUCUGGAAAAAACACUCACUGGAUGCUAGCCAGGCCACAGCCACUGGUCCUCGGGGGAUAUUCACUAAAGAGGAUGCUCUCAGACUUGCCCAGUUGAAACAGAUGGGCAAGAUUACCGAGUCCAGACCACCCCAGCCCCUGCAGCCACUCCCACAGCACCUUCACCCCUACAGGCCAUAGCUGGGCCAUCUUAUCCCCGGCCUAUGAUCCCACCAUUAUCAACUCCUGGACAACCCAAUGCAGCAGACACAUUCACUGAAAUGCCCGCCAGCAAUAUUCCAAGAUUUAUUGCCAAGAGAUUAACUGAAUCUAAAAGUACUGUACCUCAUGCAUAUGCUACUGCUGAUUGUGACCUUGGAGCUGUUUUAAAAGUUAGGCAAGAUCUGGUCAAAGGUGACAUUAAAGUAUCAGUAAAUGAUUUUAUCAUCAAGGCAGCAGCUGUUACCCUUAAACAAAUGCCAGAUGUUAAAGUAAGCUGGGAUGGAGAGGGCCCAAAGCAACUACCAUGUGUUGACAUUUCAGUGGCUGUGGCAACAGAUAAAGGCUUAAUUACACCAAUCAUUAAAGAUGGGGCUCCUAAGGGUAUCCAGGAAUUUGCUGACUCUGUAAAGCCUCUAUCAAAGGAAGCAAGAGAUGGAAGGAAAAUUGUUGCCUGAAGAACACCAAGGAAGGUCUUUUUGUAUUUCCACCUUGGGGAUGUUUGGCAUCAAUGAAUUUACUGCAGUGAUUAACCCUCCUCAGACCUGCAUUUUGGCUGUUGGGAGGUUCCGACCUGUGCUGAAGCUCACUGAGGGUGAAGAGGGAAAUGCCAAACUGCAGCAGCACCAGCUCAUCACAGUCACAAUGUCAAGUCGAGUGGUUGAUGACGAACUGGCAACCAGAUUUCUUAAAAGUUUUAAAGCAAACCUAGAGAAUCCUAUCCGACUUGCCUAAUCCUCAAAGAUUUGAGUUGGUGUUCGGCUUAGUUGAUUCAGCAGUUUUUACCAAUAAACAUACCUUAUAGAAAAACAACUAGGUAUUUUAGUAUGAAGUGGAUGAAAUGUUUAUUUAAGGUGAAAGCAUUUGAGCCAGGGUGUCUUCAUUUUCAAUUUGGGUUUAAUGUUAUAAAAUAAAUGAUGAUAAACUGUAACUAAUAAAGGAAAUAGAAUAUUUGGUUACUCAAAUCCAUUUUUAACCUCUGGUGCUGUAUAAAGGGAAUAUUAAACUAAAUGUAAAUCAAAGUAUAUGUUUGGCUCAUUUGAGCAUUUUAGAAUAUUUGAGAAUGUGUGAUACAUGUAAAAUUUAAAAACUGUUACAACUCUA